rnacentral:rRNA from 1 species
AACACAUGCAAGUCGAACGGAAACGAUGGAAGCUUGCUUCCAGGCGUCGAGUGGCGGACGGGUGAGUAAUACUUAGGAAUCUGCCCAAUAGUGGGGGACAACUCGAGGAAACUCGAGCUAAUACCGCAUACGCCCUACGGGGGAAAGCGGAGGAUCUUUCGGGACUUCGCGCUAUUGGAUGAGCCUAAGUCGGAUUAGCUUGUUGGUGAGGUAAAAGCUCACCAAGGCGACGAUCCGUAGCUGGUCUGAGAGGACGAUCAGCCACACUGGGACUGAGACACGGCCCAGACUCCUACGGGAGGCAGCAGUGGGGAAUAUUGGACAAUGGGGGCAACCCUGAUCCAGCAAUGCCGCGUGUGUGAAGAAGGCCUGCGGGUUGUAAAGCACUUUCAGUAGAGAAGAAAAGCUUACGGUUAAUACCCGUGAGUCUUGACGUAACCUACAGAAGAAGCUCCGGCUAACUCCGUGCCAGCAGCCGCGGUAAUACGGAGGGAGCGAGCGUUAAUCGGAAUUACUGGGCGUAAAGCGCGCGUAGGCGGCUUUGUAAGUCGGAUGUGAAAGCCCAGGGCUCAACCCUGGAAUUGCAUUCGAUACUGCAGAACUAGAGUAUGGUAGAGGGAAGUGGAAUUUCCGGUGUAGCGGUGAAAUGCGUAGAUAUCGGAAGGAACACCA